rnacentral:rRNA from 1 species
GACGUAGGGGGCGAGCGUUGUCCGGACUUAUUGGGCGUAAAGAGCUCGUAGGCGGCUCAGAAAGUCGGGUGUGAAACCUCCAGGCUCAACCUGGAGACGCCACCUGAUACUGCUGUGGCUAGAGUCCGGUAGGGGAACACGGAAUUCCCGGUGUAGCGGUGAAAUGCUUAGAUAUCGGGAGGAACACCAGUGGCGAAGGCGGUGUUCUGGGCCGGAACUGACGCUGAGGAGCGAAAGCGUGGGUAGCAAACAGG